UGCAGUUCUCUGGAACUGUGGAGAAGAAUUGCAUUACAGCAAGGACUUACCUGCUACGUAUUGUUCUUAUUCAGUUAAUUACUUGUUAAUUAGUGUUAGUUUUGCUGCUCUGAUUCAUGCUAAGUAGUUUGUGUAAAAUAUUGUCUGAGCUUUCCACUGAUAAAAAAGAACCUCAAACACAAAUGGAGAACAGAAAGUAAUGGAAUCUAAAAGCAGUCAAAAGAUGGAUAGUAGUCUCUUCCAGUGUUUCCCAUGGUCUGGCCGAAGGAAGGAGAAAAAACUGUCCAAGACGAAGAGUCUGGAAGCUUAUGAGGAGAGAAGGGCUUCCGAGUCAGUCCAAAUGGAGAAAACACGGACAAGAUCUACCCCGUCUGUUAGCAGUGAUGGAAAUGACGGGCAGAAUAAUCGAGUCUAUUUCACUGGGAAGGCUAGAGUCUCAUUCCGCCAUGAACUUGAUUCUACCGCUUCAGCUGCAGAGUCCACCUACUGACCCAUCAAUACACUUCCUGCUGAAGUCUCCACUUAGUAAUCUGUCACUCUGAACAGGACUUGGUGUCAGAGUCAGAAGACCUGCUAAUAUGUCAGCUCUGAUUUUGGUGGAGAUGUUACCGUAAGACCUUCAGAGAAAAGCCUGAUCUACACAGUCCUACAAGCCACACACAUUUGCAUAGCUUUAUAUAAAAUACAUCAGCAUUUCAAGGCAGUGUAAAGUUUUGACUGUUUGCUGUGCACAUCCUGCAUUGAAUAAUGUUAUUUAAUGGCUCAACAGCCUCCAAUGAGAUUCUACUUCUUCUUCAGUAUAACCAAUAAAAGAUAGAGAGGCUAUUGAUGGACAGUGACACACAUGUUUUUCCAUCCUGUUGACAUGCAGAUGAACUUCCUGUGCAAAAAACUUGCAAGUCACAUAGUCACGUUGCAAAGUGCAAACCCAACUGACUAGAAUAAAUAGUUUUCAGACAUUUUGUGAAUAAUUUGGUAGUUGAAAAAUGUGGACAUCUGCUUUACCACUAGGGCUUAGCUGAUAUGUACAUAUAGUUAUUUUACCAGUUUUCAGCUACCAGGAUAUAUACUUUUGCAGAUGAUCUGCUUUUAUAACAUGUACUUGUAUCACCAUGUGUGUUCCAAGCACCAGACUGUGCCAUUUUCCCACAAAGAUGUGAUUUAAUGCUGAACGUCAUGAGAUGACACACACUAUGUUUAUUGAUAUUAGUAUUAUUGAACUGAUAUUUUGAUAUCGCUGUUUUGUGUGAAGCCCCACUUUCAUGUACAGACUAUCUCUCUUGGUUCAUUUUCACUAUCUACAUCUUUAAUUUUAUUAUAUCAGUAUUCCAAUCUAACAAUAAAGGAAGCAGAGGAGUAUUUUUUGAAUAGUUAGAACUAAGUGCAAUUAACAUGUAAGAUAACAAUGAUCUUCCAGUUUUCUGUGCAAAUACAAUAAGGUGCCGAGAUUUGACCAGAGUGUGCCUGGAACUUGAGCACCAGUAAUGUAGUUGAACUGUAUCCGUGACAAGCGACAAUGGUUGCAUUUAACGUGGUGGGCGAAAUAAGGGCAGUGUCAACAUGCAUGACUGGGCAAAUUCUUUGUGGCACUGCUGCAGGCCCACACUGUAAUCUAUUCCCAGCAUUUCAUGUAUGGGUGAGGCGUAAAGUAAAAACCCAGUUGGCUGUAGUAGGGUGACCCUGGCAUCUCUGUCCCCCUUCUCAGUUGUGGGGGUACCCUAGACCAGUGGGCGAGAAACUCUUCAGAUGAUAUCCACUUGGUAAAGGGGCACGUCUAGCAUAUGUUCCAAUCUGCAGUAGCACUUGGGAGGGAGCAACUAUUGAGGAUGCCUAAUACAGUGACUUAGUUCUGUAAAGAAACACUUCAUUUUAACUACAAAAGAAGAAGAAUACCAGAGACUAAAAAGCCACAUGGUGUCUCUGCAGAGGUACUUGUAUGGACUAACUGGUAACAGAAUGUUUGGUGAAGGGCACUGCCUUUUUAAGUCAAAAGCACAGCAGACAGGGUAGCAUACAUAGAGUGCCCUGGUAGGAUGGGGUUCACAAAUAAAUGCCUGCCAAGCCUGUUAUAAUUUUUGGAAAUCUCCAGCUUUUAAAUCACAUUCCUGUCCACCCAAAAGAUGGAACAAAACUUCCAAAAACCAAGACUGUUCUCAUUGUUCAAGAAUUAAUUACUUCCUGGACAAAAGGAAAAGUCUAAAAGUGAAGGAACACAGUGCAGAUGUUCCCAAAUCACUAUGAGUAAGCCAACUACUACUGCCACAGACUGACAUGCUUUUUGUUUGGGAAAUGUAGUUCAGUGUCAAUUUAAAAACAGUAGUAAAUUACAUAUCAGCACUACAUGUCCCAGUGUACAUUGCACAUAAGGAAAGGUUGUAGAAUAGCAUGGCCAUAAGGAUGGCACCCAUAUAGUCUGUAAGAGUUCUUAAAAACAUUUUAUGAGGUAAGAAGCCUUACACAGAUAUGAAUGUAGACACUGCUAAUAAUAGAAGUCACUGACAGUAUCCUUACAAGAUUUGGUCAACAAUGUACGUCUCAAAAGUCCAUGUUUCACAUAAUGUUCAGAUUUUGCCUCAUAUGUUUGGUCUAUUCCACAUAAAAUUUAUGGUUUUCUGGAAAACCACUGAGGAUUCAAUUCCUUCGGUAAUGACAGACACAUUCAGACAUUAAAUCCUUCAGGAAAUAUGUGCCAAUGCAAAGCCUGUCAUUCUAUCAACUUUCUAAUGUUAAAAUAGGAAUAUGUAAAACCUGUCCUGUUUUUGGGCCUUUGUCCUCGUAUUGUUUUUGACUUUGUCCAGAAUUUCUGUGCUAAGAGGUUGAAAGUUAUGGUCUCCAAGGAUUAAGUCAUUUAAGUGUUUCCUUAAGUAUGUCAUAUAGUUCAACAUAUUUCCCAUUGAUAACUUCUAGAAAAGAUGUGGAGUUUGAUUUUACUAUUUAGCAAAGAUAAUGGUAUUAUUUAUGACAUAUGGUAAACACAGAAAGAAGAAACAUGACAGAAAACAGAAAAAUUCAAGAUUUAGGAUGAUAUCCUGGGUAAUGGAAACCCUAACUAAAUGUCAUACUAUUUGUUAUAAACUGUCAUUUAACACAGCUACUAUUUAGGCACAUUCUUUUUAUGUAGAAUAGCUUAUCCAGACAAAUGUUUGGAUAGUUAAAAUCCCAUAUAAGAAGUCAUUGUAUUUUCAUCAUCUCUCUUAAAAUCCUGGAUUUUAGUCAAUAAAUCUUCAUACUGUGUAGGUGACAUAAAUGUUAUAAGGCAGUUUCUGAAAAAUAUAGUUAAUACCACUGACACAAAUUUCAGGCACAGUAUUAGCAGCUGUGUGUGCCCACCGGGUGGGUGGAUACAUUGUACAUAUCGGACAUUAAUAUGAAAUAUAAUACUAUGGCCAUUUGGUUUCACUUAAUUACAGCAUUGCACUUGGACAUCUGAGUUGUGUACAAUGAGAAAGUGGUUACUUUUCUUGGAGAUUCUGGAAGACAGGAUAACUACUUUCACAUUGUGAAUUUUAGCUUUGCUCUCAUUCUUAAAAAGGAAAUAAAUAUUAUAUAAAAACUGUGGAACCAAAUGAUUAGCAGUGGGCCAGCACUUUUUUCCUGGCCUUUUUAUCCAGAUCAUCUAUGAAUUGGUCACCUUUUUUUCUCUCUGUUUUAUAGUGCAGCUGUUUGGUUGGUGGAAUUCUCUUCCACAACAAGCUGUUUUUAUGCCAUACCCACACAUUCCCCUGUCACAUGACAUGAAAUGACAUCCACGUGGGAAGUGUGCUUAUUUGAGAAUGUCUUUUGGUAUCUCCCACUGUUGCAACUCUCCCUAUUUUCCAUUUGAGGGAUGAAUGAUGGUGACCCCCCCAUACUCAACACAGGAGAACCAUUUACUGGCUGUUUUUAUCACUUAACCCAACUGACCUUUCUUCACCCCUGAAGGAAACAGCCAGUAGCAGAAACAUAACGAAAAACAACAAAAGUAAUGAAGGUGUUCAGUGAGUGAAAAUCGAAUAAUCCGGUAAACACAAAAAGAAUGUAAUAAGCGCUUUCAUUCUUUAAUUCAUACCAAGAACUUCUUCAGGCAAAUGUUACAUAUACCAACAGAUUUUUAAAUAUACCAGCAUGACUAUGACAGAUUGUUAUUUAAAAAUGUGUUGGUAUAUGUACAGUUUGUCUGAAGACGUUCUUGAUAAGAAUUAAAGAUCAAAAGCGCUUACUACAUUCUUUUUGUGCUGACUGGAUUACUGGAUUUUAUUUUUUGUUUUCUUUCUGUGCUAGUUGGCCAUUUUCAGACAGCCAUACUGAUAACAUAAAGUUUUGUAAUAAACCAAUUGACUAAAACAUGGAGGGGGGGGGGGGCUAAAAUUGCCCAGGCAGACUGCAAAUCAGAUUUCUUUAGCAGGUAGAGCAAGCAGCCAAAAGCCAUAGUAAUAAAAAAGGUACUGCUGUCAGUGGACCAAAGCAUUUGUGCUGGUGAGUAAGACAGUGUAGAAACAAAGUUAGAGUUUGUAGUCUGUAUCUUGCAGCCUACUUAAUUUUGAUAAAUUUUCGGAGUUCACCUACAUACCAAGAAGUGAAUGCCUGAUGUUAACAAACAUUGCGUUUUACCAUGGAGAAGGUACCUUAGAACACAUCAGUAAAAUGUCCUCCGGUCAUAACUGGUCUGUAGUCAAGAAAAGUAAUUUAAUUUUGAAAAUGACACUGUACGGAUAAUUUUAUUAUAAAAUGUCACUGGACAGAUGCUAUCAUCACUAGGAAAGUCACCCAUUAGAGCCAGUAGGGAACUUCUCAAGAAACCAGGCCAACACCUUCAGAAGGGGAAAAAGAAAACUUGAUGGGCAAGAUUCUGAUAGAUUUGCUUUCAAUAUAAGUGACAUAGUCUGGUGUAAGAUCUGUCUAUAAAUACACUUACACAGGGACCCAGAUUCCAAAAGACUUGCUCACUCCUUAAGUGACUUACUCGGACGUGUAUACAAGAUUACAUCAGAAUAACUUAGUUGGUGCAAGUCUUUGGGAACCUGGCCCAUGGGUUUAUUACCAUUAUUAAAUUAUGGGUUUAUUACAUCUGAGGGCCUUUCAACUCAUGCUAUUAUAUGAAUUUUACUAUAGCAAAGAUGACAUCCAUCCAUGUCAAGUGUGUGAGUCCGUACAUGUGCAUUCUUGUAACAUACACUGCUUUUGUUAACAAUUCUCAUGAGUUCAUUUAAGUCUGAAUUCCACAUACAGUGUGAUUAUAUCUCUGUUUAACCACAGCUUAUGAAGUCAUGACUGAAUUAAAACGUGUAUGCAUCAUGAUAGUUUUUAAAGACAAAUAAUACUGGGCUUUGAACUCUGCUUCUAUAUAUGCAGAGAUAGUUUCACUCAAUGUGAAUCUGACACAGCAGUACAGUCUGUUUGAAUUUUUAUUUCACUACAUGUAUACUCUUGUAUGCACCCAUUUGUUUAUUAAGGAAAGAAUUUUGCACAUGCAGUCAGUUUUGCCAGCACGUGCCAUGAGCUGUUUUGCAGCCUUGCAGAUACUUUAACAUGGGUUUACCACCAGGCUUAUCACUUAUCACAUACCAUAAUGCCCAUGGAAGAGAAGUGAGAUUGUUAGCUUACACUGACAGUCAACUGAUAGCAAACAGAAGCUGCUCCUAUGGAUGAUGCCCACCUUUUCUAACAAAGCAGACAUGAAAAAGGAUAGUUUAAACUGGGCAAGGAGACGAAUCUCAAUAAUUUGUUUCAGCUAUUUUUGUCUAUGUUGACUAUGUUGUCAAUCAGCUGAACAAACACUCAUGCAAAUACAACAAAAAAAGCAAGACCGUGCAUAGGAGGUGUACCACAGAAGGACUUUAAACUGUAGUGCUGUGCUGUUAAGAUUGAUAAGUGCUUGCUUUCUGCCUCCGAGUUAAACAUUUACUGCACUGAAUAAGGUUGAUCGAUGUAUGUUUGUUAAUUAGCUAAACAUUCACUGGUUUGGCUAAAAUCUUGUUCAUCUUCAAAUAACUACUCUAAAGUGGCAGUGAGUCUGUGUCUGACUGAUUUGAAGGCCUUUAGACAAAUGCAUUCUUUUAGUUAGGAUGUUCAAUGUUUCAAAAAGUUGUAGUAACAGUAUUUUAGUCUUCACAAUUUAUGUUUCGAAAAAAUAAUGCAAGCUGUGAAAGGACACGUUCCUUCAGGGCAUUUUUACAUAACAGACAUCCACAUUUGAGGGGAAAUCAAAGGAACAUGUAUAAAACUAUUUCCAAUAGUAAAGGUUUUAAAGAAAUCUAUCAACUUUAAAUGUCCUCAUGUACAACGUCAAGUGUCAGUAUAAAGGAGCAGGUCCUGUGAUAUGUAUAUUACAAGUUCCACUGAACAUUUCAUAUCAUACGGAGCACACCCAAAGUAAUAUUACACACUCACACACACACACACACACACACACACUAAGCUAAUAGAAGAUUGUCUGUCUAGAGUGUUCAUUUUUUGCAGUUGCCCCUUCCCAUUUUCCAGAGGAUGCAUGCCUUUUUAAAAGAUUAAUUUGUUUUACUUUGUAGUGUCUAGCAUGGGAAGCCUGUACAAUUUCACCUGAACUGAUGGCAUGUAAAUGGCAUUCUCUGAUGUCCACGCUAAUGUCUGAACCCUCAGUAUGGAACUUAGAGGCCACUAACCCCUUUUGCUCUCAGUGUCCUUUCAUCCCAAAUAGUUUGUAGUUCCCUUCAAUGAUUUUUCUUCUUCUUUCUUUCGGCUUUUCCCAGUUAGGGGUCGCCACAGCGGAUCACCUGUUGUCCGCUCAUGAUUUUUGUGGAUCUGAAUUAUAUCAUUUUUCUUCUGCAGUCUGUGGAGAUUGAACCCUCCUGUCUAGGGCAUUCCUUCUUUGACUUCCCUUCUGUCCUGUUUAGUGUUACAGGGAUUCCCUAGCUUCCCUAUUUUUUCAUCUACUUAGUCUCUGGAAUGGGAAAUAGUAAUUUAAAUGAUGUCUCAGCAAUGACGUAGAGAGUUGGAGAAUUACGUCCCUGCUUCUUGUGACUGUGUCCUGAAGAUGCAGCCCAGUAUCAUUCUGCUGAUUUUUCUGUGUGUUCCUUGUAGCCUGAUGCUGCAUUUACAGCUACUUUGUUUUUUUCUGUUGUCUGAGUUUAAGUAACAUUCUCUCCCAAGCUAGUUUACUGCCCCAUGAUUAUUACUCUUCAAGUAUACACCUUUCAUUUCUCAGAGUUGAACCUCAGCUGUCAUCUAUUAGCCAAAAUGGGCAGAUUUUUUUCAAGCUUCACUUAAAACUGUUUCCCUUCAUCCUCUGUUAUGUUGUUGUUUUCAUUCUGUCCACAAAAGAGGCUGAUCAUGCUUUCUAACUGUGUCGGCUACUUUUUUAUCUUACACCCAUCAUAUUUACAUUACGUUAUUUUAUGUGAUGGCAGAAAGAUUGACGAGUCUGCGCACUGCUCCAUAUUAAGCACAUUAUGUUAUUUUAUGUGAAGGCAGAAGGAUAUGAUGAGUCUAUGCAGCAUUCAGUUUUAUGUACCUUGUCAUUCUAUCUCCACUCCAUCCCUGCCCACACCAAUGGCCAAGCCCCCUGCCUGGUUCUAGGCUCAAUUCACUGUUGAAUAUCUCUGUGGAUUCCUUUUCCAUCAUGCAUUCCUGUAGUCCAUACCGAGGGAUCACUACCCACUCUGUUGGCAGUGGGUGGGGGGGAGGGAUUACUUUCAGAGAUACAGGAAGUAGUUAAUAUGUACAAUCUGUUCCUGUGCCCUUCUUCAUCUUCUUUCCUUCCUGAUUACAGUGUUCACAGACCCCUUCAUAUCUCCCUGUGAUUUUCUGCACCAAUAUCAUGUCUCCAUAUUUAUUCUUCAUUCAAAUGACAAAAGCUCCAAGCUCUUGAAGCUUCGGAUAGUAUUCCUUUCCUUCCAUCCCAUCCAUCUUCCUGAUGGCUUUCCUCUGAAUUCCUUAUAGCACCCUGAUACAGCCUCCAGAACUACAAGCAGUAGUUACGAUGUGGACUGGCUAAGGUCCUGUACAGUGCAGACAUUAACUCUUUGCUUCAGCAAUCUGUCUGAGUAUACACCCUAUCAUUCUCUGUCUGAUGACAGUGCUUUCUCACUCUGCUUAUGAUUUAGGUGUGAGCCACACUUCCAAAUCCUUUUUCUGCUCAGUUCAUCCUUACCAGCUGCUACUUCAGCAUGUUGUGGCCUAGCACUUUACACUUUGAUCCUCAAAUGUCACUUUUCUGCCUAUUUGUUCACUCACUUCUAAAUCCUAAGCUAGACUCUCUCCUCAUCCACCAUUGAUACAAAGGAUUAGACAUUGGUAUAAUGGUUAAGGUGUCUGACACUCAGACACAAGGUACAGGGUUUUAUUCUCAUUCUUGCCCUUUAUUAGGGAGAUUAGCUAGGCUUAGAUUGGUUUAUUAAGAAAGCUAACCUAGUAAUUAGCUAUGAAUUUAUGGGGUUGGGAGUUGACAUAAUGAUUAAGGUGUUUACCUUGCAGACAAGAAGUGCAGCAUUUGAUUCUCAGUAAGGGAAAUUGGUGAAGCUUAAAAUAGUUCACAAGGGCAGCUAGCCUAGUACUUGUAUAUUGUACAUAUUGCACUUCUGCUCUCUCAGUAAAGAGGUUGUUCCUGUUCUUAAAUGCUUCAGAUGUGUCUGAGACAAAUACACUGGAGAGUACUUGAACCAGAAUAGGCCUCCUUGUUAUACUGCAGAGCAAUGCUGAAGGUGUUACAUUCAAGGUCGGUCAGUUGCCUGUUAUCUAUGCCUACUAUGAUCCAGUUAUAAAAGUGGUACAAUGUUUGACAGGAUCUUUCAGCUGUGAACCAGGAUGGUUUUUGUCCUAUAAAACUUUUCCCUUUCUUUUUCUGAGGACUUCAGCUGCAGAAGCAGUUGUUGUCUGCAGUCUGCUUUCCAAUGAUGCAUUCAGUGUCUCCAGUGUGCAGACUGGUACAGCAGUAAUACAAUAGAUGUGCACAAACAACCGGAAGAUCUUUGCAUCAUCACCUCUUCUUUAUAUUGAUACUCCCUGGUAAUGUGAAUUAUCUGGCUGCUUCAUUCCUUCUGAAGACCUACUGAGUUAGAUGACAUGCGUAAUACUGCCCCUUGACAUGGUCUGCAUUCAAGUCUGCGACCUUUGGCUUAUUCUAACAUGUCACAAAAUGACAAUCUUGUUCAGAAUCAAGCAGAACAUACCUAGACAAGUUUAAUAGCUUUUCUAUUGAAUUUUAACUCUUAAUUUUGCUUUGUUAACCUUAACUACUUUUUAGAAUGUUUUGUGCAAUAAUAAAUGCUGCUGUCUAAUAAAACCGUUUUACAAUGUUGA